rnacentral:tmRNA from 1 species
GGGGGCGAUCUGGAUUCGACGACGGUUACGAACCUUUCUGGUGCAUGUCGAGAUGGCAGCCAAUCUCGUAAAUCCAAAGCUGCAAAUUAAUAGUCGCAAACGACGAAAACUACGCUCUAGCUGCUUAAUCCCAGCUAGCAGUUCCACUAGCCAGCUUACGGGGUGGUGGUAACUGUCAUAUUUAGUAAGAUCGCUGAGAAGACUGUCUGCAUCAACUCGGCUAAACUUUCGCAGGCUCGCCUUGUUCGCCCUGACCGUCGGGCCGAUUAAGGUUAACCCAGUAGACGGAAGCUAAGCAUGUAGAGCCGAAAGCAGAGGACUGGCGGACGC